rnacentral:rRNA from 1 species
CGGCAACAGCUCAAAUUUGAAAUCUGCCCGCAAGGGCCGAGUUGUAAUUUGAAGAAGCGUAUAUCACGUUUUCGUUCGGGUUCAAGUUCCUUGGAAUAGGACAUCAGAGAGGGUGAGAAUCCCGU